rnacentral:lncRNA from 1 species
AAAAUAGCAGAUCCCAAUCUCCAAAAACUCCAAAGUUAGAGGAGGACCUGCUGCUCCUUCUUCAUAAGACCAAACGACUCCUUCCAUCGACCACCCUUCACCAGUAGUCGAACCCACAAGCCGCCGGGCUCAACCCAGAUCCCUCACGCACGUGAACCCCAUAUCACCUUCCUCCGCGUCUUCCAUCUUCGGCAAGCUCCAGCGACACACACAAAAGGAACGGGUUCGUAACACUUUAAACUCGGCGCAAAAUGACUGAAGAUCACCCCCUAAACAGUCCAAAAUAUCCAAAUACAGCCAAUGUUAAAUGAGGUCUCAGUUCAAACUUCGGCGAAGUUUUCCGGCGAGGUUUCCGUCUCAUACUACAGCUAUUGCCAUUUUCGUUUUUCUCCCGGUUAGCUGCGUGAGUUUCGCAGGCUUGAGCUUUUAAGGAGCUCGUUUGUUAAAUCUGUCCGAAGCUUCGUUCGUUUGUUGCUCGUUCUGAGGUCGGAGGUUUCCGGCAAGGCUUUCCGUUCGAGGUCCGCAUCUUGGUUAAUCGUUGAGUUUCAAAAGAUACGAAGUCACGUUUUGCAUUGGAGGCCUGUUUUUUUCUUUCUGAUUUUUCUUUGUUACAG